rfam:Caenorhabditis japonica strain DF5081 Contig17021.13, whole genome shotgun sequence.
GGUUUUAACCCAAGUUAACCAAGGUUAGCAUCAAUUUCGACCUUUCUUUGAAUGUGUUGAAGUCAACUUUUGGAACCGCUUUUCCGGGGUUUCCGGAGGAGCAAA